rnacentral:rRNA from 1 species
GACGUAGGUGGCGAACGUUAUCCGGAAUUAUUGGGCGUAAAGGAUGCGUAGAUGGUGUAGUAAGUUAUCGGUGGUAAAUCGAGGCUCAACCUCGUGGAAGUCGGUAAUACUGCUAUGCUAGAGGAUAGGGGAGGUUAACGGAACUCCCUGUGGAGCGGUGAAAUGCGUAGAUAUAGGGAAGAACACCAAUAAGGCGAAGGCAGUUAACUAUUCUAUUCCUGACAUUGAGGCAUGAAAGCGUGGGGAGCAAAACGG